rnacentral:rRNA from 1 species
CCUACGGGUGGCAGCAGUGGGGAAUAUUGGGCAAUGGGCGCAAGCCUGACCCAGCAACGCCGCGUGAAGGAAGAAGGCUUUCGGGUUGUAAACUUCUUUUGUCAGGGACGAAGCAAGUGACGGUACCUGACGAAUAAGCCACGGCUAACUACGUGCCAGCAGCCGCGGUAAUACGUAGGUGGCAAGCGUUAUCCGGAUUUACUGGGUGUAAAGGGCGUGUAGGCGGGGAAGCAAGUCAGAUGUGAAACCCCAGGGCUCAACCUUGGGCCUGCUUCUAAAACUGUUUUACUUGAGUGCUGGAGGGGCAAUCGGAAUUCCGAGUGUAGCGGUGGAAUGCGUAGAUAUUCGGAGGAACACCAGUGGCGAAGGCGGAUUGCUAGACAGUAACUGACGCUGAGGCACGAAAGCGUGGGGAGCAAACAGGAUUAGAUACCCGGGUAGUC